GGGGACGUGACGCUCCUCCAGAGACUGGGAUCCCGGGAUGGAUGGCAAAUGAGCCAGGAUGAAGUUGUGAGGCUGACUCGCCCCCAUCCACCAGGAUUGAGAGGGGAAAGACCUGUGUCCAAAUUACCUUCUGCGCGACACUGCAAGACCAGUCUGCCUUCUCCAGUUCAGGCAUCAGGGCCGACUUCGUGGUCCAGUAUGAUGUAGUCAUGGAGGACAUCAUUGGAGACGUGCAGAUUUGCGAUGGCUAUUUUGUUCAUUACUUUGCACCCAGGAGCCUUCCAC